UUUAAUAACAUCUAUUAGGAAGAGACAGAAACAGAUGUAAAUACAUUGAAAACCAAGCAAUCCAUCCAAUUAAGCUGCUUCACAAUAUCUCACAAAGGUAAAACUGACAUACAAAACCAGUAAGAAAUCUAAUUAUGCCUAGCCCCCUCUUCAGGGUAAAACCUCUUUCCAACCCAUCCAGCAAGGACUGACAAAAUGCUGAGCAAAAUGAAUGAAAAUUUGUGAAUCAAGAUGUUUAUGUUCAAUGAAGUUUUCUUCUUUUGCAUUUCCUUUCUGGUGGUUUACAAGUAUUUUCCAGUAACAGCCUCAACAAUGGUGAUCCUUUUUGAGAGAAGUAAGGUGGAUCACAGUCUAUCCCAAAAGGCAAUGGAUGGAGCUUUAUUUCUAACCAUUGGAGUUACUAAGGGGACACUGUGCCAACUACAUGCAGUACAAGGCUACUGUGACAGGCCUAAGCUAAUUCUCUGACAAGGUUUGUGCUGUUAAGUCCAAACCACCAAAACUGGUGUAGACUCUUGUCUUGUACCCUUCUCCAGCCCGUGCCACACAAGGGCGGUCACUCAGAAGAAGGAAGUGGCACUUCUCUCCUCAUUUGACACACAGGAAGAAGGGGAAGCUAGAGAGGAGAUAUAGGACUGAAGGAUCCCAAAAUAGAGAGAACAAAAACCUGGAGAAAACUGCUGCCAAGAGCUCUGCCUGUGUUUGUUGCCAUCUGUGCACAUCUGGCUCAGGAGCAUUUUUUACCAAGUGACCAAACAGCAUCUUCUACUCUAGUGUGGAGGUCACCCACCCAAGGGUCAACCUUGGCACUCUGCAGGGUGGUCCCCCGUGCCUGGGCUGCUCAGCAAGCCCCUUCUUCACUUGGCUUGCUGUCCUCAUCUGUCCUCUUUCCCCAUCAAAUGCUUUCAUUCACAUACCUGGAAAUGAAGUGUCCCAAGCUGUCUGCAGAGCAGCUGCAGGAUAACAUGACUGGACAACAAAAAGGUGACUUACGUGCUUUACCUUUCAACCAAAGCUGCUCAAUCCCUGGCCAUGCCCUUGUCUCAGCAACAGGUAACAGCUCAUGAAGGCCACCAAGCUCUGGCUUGGUCUCUGAAAACAUCAGGCCAAGGAGAUUAGAGAGGUUUGGUGCCACUCUGGCUGCCAACACCCACCUGGGUCUCCUUUGUCAGCAGUGUUGGCGGUGGGAUCAGCUGCAGGAUCUCGUUCCCAUGAGACUGUCCAUACCCGGCUACACAGACACCUUGGUGGAGUGGGCAUGAAGAGCCAGGAACACGACAUGACCCAAGCCUAUGAUCAAACAACUGCAGGGUGUUCUCUGUCAGCAGCCACAGCCAGAAACAUGGGUACAGUCACAUCUCUCAUUUUCCAGAUCCUUUGGAGUCAUUGGAUCCUGGCGUGUCUUUGAGUGGCUGCUCACCUGCCUCUGGCCUCAGGCACCUGCCAUUUCCCACCACACAGAACUCCACCUGCAGCUUGCACACUGAGCUACCUGUGCUAAAUAUAUUCCUUAAUAGUUAAUUUCCCAGUCUGGGAUUUUGAACAUUCUCCCAGUCUACAGCCACAUUUCCAUAUUCUUUCAGUUAAGCUGAUAAACCCAUUUGACCUGCCAAAAAUGCAUAAAAUGGUAAGAGGAUAAGAGAGAAUUUAUCCUCCACACACUACUUUUUUUUUUUUUUUCAAUAUUCAUUUGCAUUUCUCAGUGAGUGAGAGAGUGGAAAUCAAAUGAGUGCCACUAGGGCUCCCUCCCAAGGGAACAGAGAGAUGAAAUGUCACCAUGGGUUGAUAAUUGAAACAUGAUUGAUUUGAUCUAUAAAUUGUUAUCUGCCCAAAAUAGUUGUCAUUCUGCAGUGCCACAGGGCCUCUUCCUGUCUGAGCAACUGGCCAUUUGCCUGGCCAAAUAAACAGCAGAAAGGUCUAAUUGUUCUUUGUCAGUAGAUGAAUUAAGGAACAGAAGGUUAAGGAAGAGGUGGAAGGAUGUCAGCUGUUGUGUGCAAUGGGUUUCUGGAGCACUGCCAAGUGACUUAGAACACUCUAUCUAUAUGUCCUGGCAUCUCAGGAUUGGAGCUCAGCUGCAUAUCCAUGUUAAGAGAAGAGGAGGAUUUUCCAAAGAGGAUUUUGAUGAGCUCAGAACAACACUCCUCAUAAAGCAUCUUAAUGAACUAUUUACUGGCUGCUUGGCCUCUGUGCUUAAUUCAAUUGAUCUGCAUCUGGGACAGUAGUCUGGUAGGCAAGAAAAGCACAACUGGAGUGAUAAAAAAGGCAAGAGAAGACAAAAUAAAUA